GUUUAGAAGCAGGUGGAGGGAGUCCUUUCUUUUUGCUGGUAAUACCUUCUUCAAUCUUAGAGGUAUCAUCUGUGUCCAAAUUUUGAUCAUCUUGACAUUCGCUGGGGCCACUUUCUUCAGAUUCAACAUCAUCACCUAUUUUUGCUUUCUGGUUUCCUCUUCUAGGCCUCAUUCGCCGGACUGGUCUAGGAGCAGCCCUUGCAGUUCUUGAACUGGUUGGCCUGGUCCUUUUCCUUGGUACAUUUUUCGCAUGAGAUCUUUCAACUUCCCUGUGUUCCUCAAGCUUAUGAUCCGGAGGCUGAACAUUUUCCUCACUGAAACAAAUUAGAAACAGACAGAAGAUUGACAACAACCAAAUGUAAUUUUUUUUAAUAUUAAAAGUGUCGUUAUGGGCAAUCACCAGUUACCUCCUUUCAAUUUCUAGUUCUUCUAGUGUAUCUGGUUUAAGGCUGUAAGCAGUUUCAGAGAGCUUCAUUUGUUUCUCAACUGAAUCUUCCAACCACUUAUUACUGACAACAUGUAAUCGUUUGUCAUGCAGAUAACGUCUUUCAGCAGGAGGGAAGCUGCAUAAACAACCAAUGGAUUACAAUAAAUGUUUCCAUUUGCCCUUCUCUCACAAAAGUCACAAAAGAAAUCCAAAGCAAUAAAUCAG
rnacentral:lncRNA from 1 species